rnacentral:rRNA from 1 species
GAAUCAUUUUAUAUUAUGUAUGUAAUAAAUAAAGAUCACUUUCAACAACGGAUCUCUUGCCUCUCGCAUCGAUGAAGAACGUAACGAAGUGCGAUAAGUAAUGUGAAUUGCAAUAUUCCGUGAAUCAUCGAAUCUUUGAACGCAAAUUGCA